UUUUUUUUUUUUUUGGGUGGUUCCCAUUAUUGAACCAUUUAUUGAAAUAGAUGGAAACUACUUUUGGGGACACAGUUUGGAGUUACUGAUAGAUGGGGAUGAAACUUAAUUAGACUCUAUUUUUGCAAAAGGUGGAACUGCCUUUCUUAAACAGCAAAGGCCCUACAUUUUUUGCAUUUUCUUCUUUGCAGGAGUUUGGGAGGAAGAGGAAGCAGCAAAUAACUUGGAAAUUAAAAACAAUGAUACAAGAAGCAGCAGAAGGGAAGGAAAAAGCUAUAGAAUGUUUUGGAUUUUGGUUAGCCAGAAAAAUAAAAUGAAGACAACUCCAGAGACAGGUUCAACUUGUCAUCAUUUCUAGGAUAGAGAUUGAUUACUUGAUUAUGAAGUGUCAACCAGGGCAAUUGGGCAUUGUUAGUUGGAAGAGAAUGACAUAACAAUUAACUGAUUCACCAAAAGAGUAUUUACAGACAUGACCACAAUUACCAACAAGAAAUGCCACAUAAUUAGAAAAUGAAAUCAAGCCACUGAAAACUCGCAGGUCAUAAAACACACAGGAAUAUGACAAUUUCUAUAGUACAACAAUUGCAAAUCUAUUGCCCAUUUCAUAAUCUGAAUCUACAGAAAAUGUCCCUGCGUGACUUGAAUCUAAAUAAAACAAUAAUGACAGUAAAAUCAGAUUACAUGGGGACAGCACGUGCCUUGUACAUACAAAUAUACGCCAUAUGCCAGUCACCUCCCCCAGAUAGUUUAGUUAUAUCAUCCUCCCGCUGUGGAAUGGGAUUAUCAUCAUCAAACUCAAUCCAUUUACCAUUUUCUUGCUUUACCCAGGCAACAUAAUGCCCUGAAUCAGCACUCCUCCCCUUGUGGGUCAGCACAGCAACCAAAUCAUAUAUUCCAGUUAAAUGUGAUUCUCUGUCAGAUGAACCUCCUUCUUCCGAGGUAGCCUUUGAAGAUUCUCCGCUUCCAUUGGAUGAUCCCUCUGCAUCUGUCAUCUUGACAUCAUUAUCUUUUGAACCAGAACUCUUCUCAUUUGCUUUCAGGCCAAGCUUCUUACUUUCCUCAUCUCUUAAAGACUGAUAGUUAUUAGAAGUUAAUAACAACCAUGACACCACCAAAGCACACAAACAAUUAUCAUCAUUUAGAUUUAAAUUGAACUCCACAUAUAUCAUAUACCUGGCGAGGUGCUUCCAAUUUUUUGUGGAGAUCAUCUGAACAGAAAUCAUAGACAUCCAGCUCCAAAGGAUAAUCCACUUUCUAAGAACACAAGCAUGUUCAAAAGAAAAUACAAUUAUUGCUUUCAUGAAUCUUUUUACAUAACGAAUCUUUUUACAUAACCAAUCUUUAAACCUAGACCAAAGGGCUUCUUUGAUACAAAACUAACCAUCUUGUAUUUAGUUAAUUUUUUCUUUCAGCAUCACAUAAACAAAAGAUUACCCGCAAAAUCUUGGCCUUCUGAUUUGACUCUCUCUUCCAGAAAAAACGAACAAACUGAACAGUCAAGUACCUUGGCAAGGCAUUGAUGCGAGACUCUUUCAAGUAAAUUGCACUACGCCCUAAGGAAGGGGAAGCCUUCUCCAACUCAGAUUUCAGACCAUGCUUUAGUCCUUCAUGCAAAUGGUUCACCUCCUGCGAUAUGUGGCAUUUAAGUGAAUAAACUGAUUCUGUCUCUGAGCUCUCUUCACCACUUUCUUGGCAAUGGAUUCUGCUUACAAGUUCGAUUCCAAAAAGUGCCUUCGUUGUAUCCAAAUUUUCACUGGGACUUGAUGAUCUAAGAGACUGUGAAAGAGUGUAUAAAAGUUGUGUCCAACACUCUUCAGCAUCCUGCUGCAUGAAUACACCAUUAUGCAAUUGGCCAAAUUGUGGAUACUUUUUGCGUAACACCAUCCAAAACUGCAUAGGUGCCACAGGCUUGACACUUUUAUCAAGCUCAUUAAACAGUUCUCGAGUUGCAGCUGUCAACAUAUGAGAUGUCUGAUCCAAAUCAUUUCUCUUUUCAGAUGGAUACUUGAGUAAAGCAGACUUCAAUUCUGGAACAGAAUGCAAACAUUGUAUCGUGGAGUUCAUGUAACAGGUGUUUCCCAGAUUAAAUAGGCCAGCAGUAUGACCCUGGUAGCAGGAAAAACAUUAGCAAUAUGCUUGCACCAAAGCUAAAUAAGAACAUUGGCUAAGAAAAAAAAGGUCAACUAGCAUUAAUGCUUGUUUGCAACAAACUGAACAUCACUACAAAACAUUAAUUUUGAACUACAAAGCUUCAAAAAUAUCAGGUGACAUAGGAAAGCAUGCUUGAGUAAUUUUGAAACAAUAGCCAGAAGCUUAAACUACAUCAAACAUUAAUAAAGGGAGAAUUAGGUAUGUUCCAUUCCCAAAAACCUGAUAAAGGGAGAGACUUGUGCAGAUUAAUGGCCAGUGCAAAACUAUUUAAACCUCUGUGAAUCCAGAUCCUUCAGGACUAACAAAAAAUUUGGCUCCAAAAAAUGUUGGAGGAAAAGAAUCCAUGCAGCCAAAGUUUGGAAUUAAGCUCAGUUGAGUUGAAUUCUGCAAGAAAUAUGUUGAGAAUGACAAGGAUCUACAAAUGCUAGUCAUAAAUAUUUAAUUAAACCAAGGUCAACCGAGGUAAGCCCACAGAUGAUAGAUUAAUGAUGAGAUGGUCAGAACAGUCUGAACUAAUAAUUAGAAAACUCAGUAUCACAGCUUUGCUAACAAAGCUUUAAGCAACUUCAAACUAAAAAGGAAGCACAGAAUGAAAUUCAGGCAAAUAUUUUAAUCAUACAUCUUGACAUAGAAUCAAAGGAAUUCUUCCAUUGCUACAGCUUAUACAGUCAAUAGGCCAAAAGUGAAGUGUUCUUUCAUUGGUAUAGAACCAAAGAAAUGGAGAAACAAAAAGUUAGUAACAACCAGUAAACGGGAAGAAUUUCACAUAUGUUUAAUUAGCAUGUGCAAUAUAUCUAUAAUCAACAGCAUUUAUUAAAGAUACAUCUUUAGUUAAUACAUUUCGUUCAUAAAUGACCUAAAAAUCAUGAGGGUGUCAAUGUUAUACAGCCACUAACAGGUUAUACUAUGUAAUGAUACUCCAUAAAUUAAUAGGUCAUGUAUAAAUAAAUAAAUAUAUAAAAGAAACUGAAGAACUCUACCACAGCAACCACUUGUUCUUCUUCUGGAAGAUCCUCCAUGAAAACAGGGCCCUUCUCU
rnacentral:misc_RNA from 1 species